rnacentral:lncRNA from 1 species
UCGCGUUGCCGCCGUGCCUACUAUGACGACUGCGACCGUACUAUCAGUUACAAAAUAAACAUCUUUCGAUAUCAAUAACUUUUCUUUUUUGUACUAAAACACGACAAAAUAUACGUAUCUAUAAAACUUAUUUAACUAUAAGUUGACAAAGUUUGCGCACUGGAUAAAAUUCAUUCCCGUAUAAGACCAAUCGUAUUCCAACGACAUUCGAUUGGUUUGCGAUUGAUCUGCUAUUUUGGUCUAUACGGUAGUUUGCUCUACAAUCAUAUUGCAAUAGUUAAUCAUUUGCAGAGAAAAUGAUUCAUUAUUGAAUGAUAGAAAAGGAUAAAAACGUUUAUUUCAAAGAAAAAAUAGCGGAAUGCCACAUAUGUUUCAAUCGUAAUCGAGUCGGGAUUGGAUCGCAGUCGAACGUGAAUCGUAUGUCGCUUAAGUAAAAUUAGGAGAAUCGUGCCCCAGGGCCCCGAUUCUCCUAAGUUAAUAAUGUCAAAAUCUAAUAGAAAUCGAAUCGCAAUAUGAUCGUAAUAGCAGUUUUAACCAUAUCGGGCAUUCUGCUACUAAUAAAAGACCAAUCGUAUUCGAUUGACAUUUGAUUGGUGUGCGAUUGGUCUGCUAUUUUGAUGAUUUUGGUCUAUACGGUAGUUUGCUGUACAAUCAUUUUGCAAUCGUAAAUCAUUUGCAGACAAAAUGAUUCAUUAUUGAAUGACAGAAAAGGAUAAAAACGUUUAUUUCAAAGAAAAAAUAGCGGAAUGCCACAUACGCUUCAAUCGUAAUCGAGUCGGGAUUGGAUUUCAGUCGAAUCGAGUCGAACGUCAAUCGAAGGGCGCUUAAGUAAAAUUAGGAGAAUCGGGCCCCUGGUU